AGAGUUUGAUCCUGGCUCAGGACGAACGCUGGCGGUGUGCUUCACACAUGCAAGUCGAACGAGGUAGCAAUACCUAGUGGCGGACGGGUGAGUAACGCGUGGGAGUCUGCCUUUAGAUGGGGGAUAACGAGCCGAAAGGUUCGCUAAUACCGCAUAUGCCGCAAGGUGAAAGGAGUAAUCCGUCUAAAGAUGAGCCCGCGUCCGAUUAGCUAGUUGGUGGGGUAAAGGCCUACCAAGGCGACGAUCGGUAGCUGGUCUGAGAGGAUGAUCAGCCACAAUGGGACUGAGACACGGCCCAUACUCCUACGGGAGGCAGCAGUGGGGAAUUUUACGCAAUGGGGGAAACCCUGACGUAGCGACACCGCGUGAGCGAAGAAGCCCCUUGGGGUGUAAAGCUCUGUCAGCUGGAACGAAACAAAUGACGGUACCAGCAGAGGAAGCAUCGGCUAACUACGUGCCAGCAGCCGCGGUAAGACGUAGGAUGCGAGCGUUGUCCGGAUUUAUUGGGCGUAAAGAGUUCGUAGGUGGUUUGUUAAGUUUGAUGUUAAAGAUCGGGGCUCAACCUCGGGACAGCAUUGAAUACUGGCAGACUUGAGUAUGGUAGAGGCUAGUGGAAUUCCCAGUGUAGCGGUGAAAUGCGUAGAUAUUGGGAAGAACACCGGUGGCGUAGGCGACUAGCUGGGCCAUAACUGACGCUGAGGAACGAAAGCCAGGGGAGCGAAAGGGAUUAGAUACCCCUGUAGUCCUGGCCGUAAACGAUGGAUACUAGGCGUAUCGGGUAUCGACCCCUGAUGUGCCGCAGCUAACGCGAUAAGUAUCCCGCCUGAGUAGUACGGCCGCAAGGUUGAAACUCAAAUGAAUUGAC
rnacentral:rRNA from 1 species